rnacentral:misc_RNA from 1 species
UGCGGCCAAAACUAAAUUAAUAAGAAUCACUGCUCAUAUUUUUGAUAGGGACUGCUAAGGAAAACGAAGAGAGACAUGAACCCAACAGCUCUGGUUUCACUGUCGGCGGGGGGGGGAGNNNNNNNNNNNCCAGUCUUCCCACCGCCUUAAUAUCUCCGGCGCGUCGUUGUGUAGAUAUAGCCACCAAUGCUUCCACGACUAGUACGAUGAUUUUCUCGAAGAACUUUCUUGUAUCCCCUUCGUCAUCGUUAUCUUCUCCUUCUUCAGCGAUGGUGGCUUCUGCUCGAACCAACAUUAAUAACGGUACGAUAAUGAAGAUUUGCCCCAUCAAAGGGCCCCACUUAUCCUCAACUACCCCUGCUAGUAUAAUGAUAAUAGGGAGGAGGAG